CAACUUUCAACAACGGAUCUCUUGGCUCUUGCAUCGAUGAAGAACGCAGCGAAAUGUGAUAAGUAAUGUGAAUUGCAGAAUCCAGUGAAUCAUCGAAUCCUUGAACGCACCUUGCGCCCUUUGGUAUUCCGAGGGGCAUGCCUGUUUGAGAGUC
rnacentral:rRNA from 1 species